GCAUCGGUGGAUCAGUGGUAGAAUUCUUGCCUUCCACACAGGAGACCCAGGUUCAAUUCCUGGCCAGUGCG
rnacentral:tRNA from 1 species